UUUAUAAAAUAUGUGAACCAUAUUCAUUACAAGAUUUAAAAUUUAGACCAAAUUAGGUGUGGCCGUGUGAUGAAUCUGGUUUUUGGUUCUUUGAUUGACUGUGUUUUGUUCCAGUUUUUUAGCCGUGUCAGUUAUGUGGUUCCCGAGUAUUGGAUCGGUUUUUAUUUGUAAUCUAUGAAACCUUUAAAAAUAAAUAACUCAUUCAUUUGAUGUUGUAAUAACAUGAGAUUUUUUUCCAAACAUGUAGUUUAUAGUUUGCACUUUCAUUUAUGCUAUAAUUUCAUCAUCUUUGGUUCCAUAUUGAAUGAGGGUUACAGUUCUUCGAAAUCAGGUUAUUAAAGUUGAAAGUUUUCGCUUCUAUUUCGACGACGUGUAUGAUACGUAACGAACGUUGUACUGGUCCAACAUGUAUGAGUACCUAAAAACCGAAACUAGUAUAUGUCACUAGAUCCGGUUCCCAGUCCAAAGAAUUCUCUAAAAUCUGUUUGAUUCAAAUAAUAAUCCUAGACCAAAUUUAAAUCAAAAUCAAAAUCAAAAUAUAUCAAAAUCAAAAUCAAAAUCAAAAUCAAAGUUCAUUCCACCCACUUUGAUGUGGAAGGUGAGUAUGUUGUAAAAGCGUAAGUGUAGGGGGUGCUGAUGAAAACAUGCUAUGUUUGAGAAAAGUGGUAGAACGAGCGUUGUACUUGUACCCUCAGAAAUCAGAAUAACCUACUCAGAAAUCCUCGGGAAGAGGGUCGCUCUCAAUUCUCAAAUCUCACGACUUGAUUUGAUUUGAUCCGAAUCCCUAUUUCCAAUGGCGAAUCUGAAUCAGCAACAAAUCUCAAUUAAGCCAUGGAUCCUUGAAGUUGUUCCCUUCAUAGUCCUUGUUCUCAUAGCCGCUCAUGUCAUCGCUUUGGUCUAUUGGAUAUACAGAUUAGCUACGGAAAAGCUCCCUGGACGAAGAAAGAAGCACUAGACCUGCUUCUACUUCUAAUUCAUAGUUCAGUGGUUACACGAAGAAUCGAAGGUGUAGUGAUCCAAGAUCUUGUUGAUUUGUUUAAUUUUUUACAUUUUAGUCUUUGUGUAUGGGGUGUAGGGAACUCUUGUUGGAGGCAUACAAGGUGUUCGAUGAAAUGCGUGAAAGAAAUGUUGUCAAUUUGACGAUUAGUUUGGGUGUGUGAAAUGAAAAGUGAUGUAUUCAGUUAGUGUUCAUGAAAAGUUUUUUUUUACAGAGUUUAAGAAUUUCUUCUUGUGUUUUGGUUUCUUCUCCUUUGAAGUUCAUACUUCAAGAAUAUUGUAUAUGAACUUGUCAUUUCACCAAAUCUGUAUCAAGAUUUAUUCAA